AAUAAUGCCACGGAAGGUCCUACUCAAACAAAAAGAAGGCCAAAUUUCCCAGAUAAAUAGAUGUUGCCUCUAACAGAAGCUGUGGUCAAGAGGAAGAGUGUGGUUCUAUGGAAAAUAGACCACAAAAAUAACCGGACAAGUGAUAAAUAACGCCUGGGAGUGUGUGACUAGUGAGGUGAAUCUUGUCGCUCGCGUUCCGAGGACUGAGGCUGAAACGCGUAGGAAGUUGACAGACCUCAGAGCAGCCGUGAAAAAAAAAAAAAAAAAAAAAACGAGAGAAGUAAUACAUGGAAGGAACAGAUGGUGGCCCAGCAGUUCUUACAAACUACACAGCAGUUGAAGAAGCUAUGUUAGCUUUGAUUGAGGCUUUUAUUAUUUCUGGCUUACCAGGGUCUGUGAAGAUGAGACAGAAGUAGAUGAUGUUGAAGAACCAACCCCUGGGCCAUCUGGGAUAGCAUCUCAACCCAUAAUGGAUUCUGAAAUUGUAACAAUGGAUGAGAACACUUUGGAGGAGCAAGAAGUUACAGUACCCAUUGUAACAAUGGACUACACAUACUCUGCGGAAUUACCCCAUUUCUUCACAGAAGAGUAACUAUAAGGAUGGAUUUAGCCGAGACAGUGCAAUGGUCCAAGAGAGAGAAACCUUUCAAGAACUGAGCAGGUCAAGCUUUAAUCUUUCUGAUGCUGUUAUUUAAGAUUUUGGUUUAUUUGUUACUGAGACAGAGCAAUAUUUAAUUUAGAUUUUUUCCUUCUCUUAAUUUUGUAGAGUUCAGGAGAAAGCAAAUUUUAUUUGAUUCUAUUCUAAUAUUCAUUCAAAAUAGUUAUAUGGUUUCAGGGACAGCUUUAUUUUAAUUAUGUUAUUAUAUUCCUUUAUUUGCAUUAUAUUCUU